UAUUUGCUUCUAUUUGCUUCACAGCCUUUUUUCUUUUUCUCUUUUCCCAGCUCUCCUGAGAAGCCGCCUCCACAUCCCGAAUGGGACGGGGGGAGAGAGGGGUUUCAUAAUGCUUCAAGAAGAAGACGAAGAGAGGAAAAGAAGAAGAAGAAAAAAAAAACCCUAAGCUUUAAUUUUAAUUCUCCUGCCUUUAUUUAUCUGAUUUGUGGCCAGAUGGUGGUGAAGCAAGGAAACCCUUUGUGCCCACGAAGCACACAUGUGAAAGUGCUUCUGUAAUGUAAUCAUUGAGACCGGAAGGGUUCAUACUGUGUCUGAAAAGAGACAAUGGAGCCGGGAUAUAUCAACAUCGCCGAAAUCGAGUUCAUUCGCGAUGCAGGCCCUUUGACUGCGGUUGUCAUGAAAACUUCCUGCUUUGAUCAGCAGAGGGUGGCGAGGGGGCCGGGCGCGCCGUGCACUUGGCGGCCGGUCCGCCCCCUCCGCGGGGCACCCGGAGCGCGGCGAUCCGCACCUUGACCGGCGGCACCGGGCGGGCCGGGCCGGGGCGGCUCCGGUACCGGGGGCGGGCGGCGCUCUUUGACCCUCGGCUUGGUCGGGGAGUCCGGUUUUGUCGGGAAAGCCGAAUCCGCGCCGGGAUGCGGACAAAGACACGGAGCAGCUGUUCGGGAAUAAAGCUGAAAUAGUAGAACCUGGGAGAGAAGUUAGCUUGGGGGAGCUAUUAUUUUCGCCGCAAAACCCUCGGGAGGUAUUAAACAGCUGCAUCCAAACGACGGAGCGACCCAAAGGCCGGGAUCCCACCGCCUCGCCGUCGAGCAGCGGGCGCGUGGCUCAGCGCACGGCCGCAGGUUCCUGUGCAAAGAGCAGCGUAGCAGAGCGGUUGGGAACGCUAUGCUGGACAGAGGACGGCCGGCCGCGAGCGGAGCCUCCCACCGGCGAGCAUUGCCAGGCGAAGAGAGAAAACCUGGGCAGCCUUAAAACACUCAGAGUGUAA
rnacentral:lncRNA from 1 species